rnacentral:lncRNA from 1 species
GUGGGGGGGUGGAGGGUGGAGAGGGGGAGGAGACUGUACAAGAUUCAACCUUGAAGAGUCUUCUUUGUGGAAAAUAUGCUACCAUAAGAAAAAAGGGAUUACAUAGUUACUUAAAGAAAGUCAUAGUUGUCUCUCUCACUUACUACUGAUUUUGCUUAUGCUAUCAUUGCUUUUCCUGAUGUACUUUUAAAGCAGCCAGGCAGCUUCAACUGAUUGAAAAAGUUAAUAUCAUAUAUGUCUAAGUUUGUAAAAUAUUCUUCAGGAAAAAGAAUAUAUUAAUUGAUAUUUUAUUACACUAAAUAUUGAUUGUGAGGUGAUAGGAAAAACUGCAAUGUAAAAACAAAACCCACAGACAUAGGUUUCUAUCCCAUCCAGAGUGGUUGCUCUCCAAUGCACUAUCCUGCAAAAUGGAGAGGAGGGUCUCAGAGUCAGAGGUUCUUUCCAAGAUGUACUUCCCUCUUCCAUAAACUCACAAGUGCAGCAUUUCAGUGCCCAGCUGUGGUAAUGAUGGACAAAGGCUCCGUUCUAAGCCCCAGGUAUCCCGGCUGGUGAGGCAGCCGUGGAGCUGCACGCCCUGUGCCUGGCACGGCCAGCCCUGCCCAGGCUGGAACAGCAGCCUGGCCAUGGAGCCCAGCUCCGGUCCCAGGCCUGACCCUGAGCAAGUCCUGCUCUCAAAAUGCACAGUCCCAGCCAAGUCCAGAGGGCACAGGGUGGCACAUGUGGGUUUCUCGGAGCUGCCUGGCCGGGCCGCAGCUCCAACAACUCCUGCCGUGGCAAAUCCAGGGAACCUCUGUUACCCAUUUCGAUCCAGCCUCAGAUCUCCAGAAAAUGCUCAACCACCAGCAUUCUGAGGAGAAUACACAUUUCUUCUUUCUCUUUCACUUUCACACCAGCCAACAGCAUUCUCCCUUCAAGAUGGGAAGCAAAAACAACACUCAGGAAAGUGAAGAAAUGAGACGUCUCUUCUCUUGAACAGGCCAACAGAGGAAACAUGAUUCUACAACACAAAAUCCUUGCAUUGUCCCUCUUUUGAGGGGAUGGAGCAAUCUUGACCCUACUUCAUAUUCUAAGACACAUUUCUCUAUCUCCUGAUGCCCAGAAAUCCAGACAGACCAAAAGGUACCUUUUAGGCUAAAAAGAAGUUUUUAGGCUUCAUACAGAUGGAAAAAUCUAUGAUAUUCAAGUCACGAAAUUGUCCCCUAUGGUCCUUUCAAACAGAAAAUCCCAUUAAUCAAUUCUUUUGCAAGUAAAGGCUAAAAGAACAGCAGAUAGCAAAACAGAAAGUGCUGAAAUAGAGGGAUAAAUUAAAGGCAAGCCAUGCUGAGGACACACACAGCCUUUCGGAACCAGCCCAAGGUUGGAGGCAGGGCUUCCAACAAAAAUCUGCACUCUUCUAUCUGGAAUGAAAGAACAGCAAUGCUCAAAAAUAGCCACAAAUGAUGAACCAGAUUACAUGCCAAUGAAUUCCGUGAUUUAGUAAACCGUCUGGAAGGCUACUUUAAAAGAUUAUAACUUUAAUGCCCGAGCAGGGAUUACAUAAUGGGGAGAAAAACAACACUGAUAACAUAACAAAAAAGAUGUCCUUUUAAACUUUGAGUGCAUCCACAGAAUUUAUUAUUACUUAUUUGGCCUUUCAAAAGGGCUUUGACAAUGUGACCCAUGAAAAAAACAUAAUAGUCAUGACUGGACGUUGGAAUCAUAAUUAAAAACAAGCUAAAGAGCCAAAAAUAAAACGUACAAAUGAAAAGACACUUUGACAAGAGAAAUGUUAAAAGUUGAAUGCAGAGGCCAUUCUGAUAUCAGUUUUUAAUUUUAGUUCACAUUUAGAAAGAUCAGCUGUAAAAUAAAGAGUGGCAAAAAUGACAAGCAAGAGAAGAGUACUGGGGCUACUGAAGGGUUUAACCAAGCUGAGUGAACUUGAAACACAAUAAAUACUUUAUUUUUUUUUAAUAAUUGGUAAGGAGAUCAUAUUGCAACAUUCUCCAAUGGGAGGACCUGGGUGCCACGAUAACAAAUCAACAGAAACUUUCAGGGAUAUGCAAUCAUCAGGUAAGUCAAACAGGAAAACAGAGUCCUGUAUUGAAAACAUUAUCCUUCUAAUAUUUGCCUGCCAGGGAAACAGCUUCCUGGGGAAUGCCAAUGAGCUACAGAAGUAACAGGAGUGCAAGGGCAGGUGUCUACAACGUCACUUUCAAGAGACUGUCAUAUAUGAAAACACAAAGUGAUCAAACUAUUUAUGUUAGUAAGCACAUGAGCAACAGGGAACACAAGAGAGAUACAUAGUCUUAAAGUCAGGAUCUGUAGUCCAACUUUCUCACCCGCUUCCAGUCUUGGAAGGGAAAUCAUUCAGCUAAAUUAUAUAAACAGCAAAUUCAAACUAUGGGAAUAUAUUAUUUUUCAACGUGCAGCCUGAGCAUGUGAAAAUCAAUGCCUUGUUAAGGGACAUCAUCAGGAAUCAGAAAGAAUGAUUUUAACCACAGCCUACAGAAAUACAGCAUUGGAUGGGAUUGUUUGCUGGAAAGACCACAUGGACCUUUGUACAAAGCCAAGAGACCUGCCUGCCCCACUUUCUGAUGAGGACAGGGUACUCCAAAAGGAUCUGAUGCUGGCCACCUUCACUCUCUUACUAAUCAAUCCUUUGUAAAAAAUGCCAGGGUAGACUUGGCAUUAAUUACACUGUGAGCCUGUUCCAGUGCAGCAAUUUCUACUUUUGUUUUCUGUGGCCAAAAGAAAUGGCAAAAAAACAGAAAAGUUCACUUUAUCUAAUGCAAAAUGCCUCAUCCUCUAAGCUAGCUAUGGUGCCUGACACAAUGCUGUCAAUGCAUCAUUCAAACAUCACAAAAACACGUAAAAACAUGCAUGUUUACUUUGCCACCUGCUCUUCCCCCUGCCACCACAAAUAAUUAGCAAGAACCUGAAUUGUAAGACUUGGUUUUACUAUAUAAAUGUUGCAUAGAGUGCUCUUCUUUUUAACAUAUAAAUACAUUUCCUUUCUUUAAUCUUACUAUCUUUUUUCCCAUCCAUGCAUCGUUAUUUGCAAAACCCAUUUAAUAAUUAUAAAAGAGUCCAAGUUGUGUGUCAGAUCCUGGGACAUUGCCACUCAUAUGGUGGUUUGCUACACUCAGCCUUUGGUCUUGUGGCUAACAAUUCACUAAAGCUGUUAGAAUACCUCACCACAACCCACACACUGCCGCUCUUCAAAGGAAGACAAGGAUAUGUAAUUAAGAGAUGAUGAGCUCAAAUAUAAGACAUGAGAUGUGGGAGCAGAUUCUGUAACCACACCGGUGAGUGGUUUUACUACUGAAGCUUCAUCAGCUCUGUCUUCACUUAUGGUCUCAGUAGAACUCACGUUUUCAAACUAUAUUUGCAGCAGCAAAGGGAAAAAAGAAAGGAAUGCUUAAAUUGUACCACUGCAUAAAAAUAGUUUUAACAUCAACUGGUCAGAUCCAAAAUUGUAAAUCAGCAUUAUUAACAAACUGCCCUUAUAACAAAUGGGGCCUAUGUCUCAGAAAAAUAAGCAAACCAGCAUCCAGUUUUGCUAAAAAUACUGUCAAAAUUUCAUCCCACAAGAAUUGUAACUUGAAAAUAGUCUCAUUUCAAGACUUUAUGAUGCUGUAAUUGUGGCCAUACUAUAAAGAGCUAUAGACAGAAGCAUCUGUGUGUAUAUGUGCCAGCUCAGGGACUAAAGGCACAAUGCAGAGUGGAAAUGAAAAUUCAUAUGUGAGUACAGAUCCACUCCAGCAUGCACAGGAUCAGUCCCUCACUGGCUAUUCAGAAUAAACAAAACACCAAACUACUCUUCCUAUUACUCUGCAGAGCUGAAAGAAGCUUUUGUUGUUGUCAUGACUGAUUAAGGAAAGAGUUGAAUAGUCUGAAGUGGAACAAGAUGUGAAUAAAGCUACCAAACUCAAGUGAGGACCACUGACCGCCUUCAGAAAUAGGCAUAAGAAAUAGCAGGAUUACAUGCUUGCCUGUUUUCUGAUUAACAACAACAAAAAGAAGAAGAAUACAGUUUUACCUAUAAGAAGUCUUUGUUUUGUGCUGAUGCAGGACCACAUCUCUACAAGCCAGGGACCCUUUGCAGGGCCAGAGCCUCCCAGUGGCAGCCACACCCUCCUCUUCCUCAUUUCUUUCUACUGACCAUUAAAUACUUUCCAAGUCAGGCACUGAAAAAAAUAACCCAAAACAAACCCCACAUUUUUAAUGGGCAUCAGAUACCAUGUUGCUGAUUUAAUUAGGCAGAUAAGAAACAAAUAAAUAUAUUUGCACACACACAUAUUUAUAUUUUCUGUUUCAUUUCAAACAAAUUUGGUAGGCCUGAUUUGAAUCUCUAUUUAAACCACAGGAUAAAAAAAUAAUGAAAACGUGUUCUAUUCUGACAGCAGAACUAAGCCCUCUGACUAUCUCCUUUUAGAGUUUUAUAUGACAUGUCCAUUGGUACUGGAAAAAUUCACAGAACUGGGGCUUUUCAGGAAUCUUCAGAUGAACUUAUAUACUUUGUAGCAGUAAGAUAUCAGCACAAAGCAAAAUGAAAGAGACAUCCCAGAACUUGUCUCUUCAGGAAUUCUAUAGAUUUGACACUUAGGCAGAUCUAUGACUUUAUAUUUAAAAAGAAAGCAAGGAAAAAAAGAAGUUAAAAAAAAAAAAAAAGUAACUUUCCUGGCUCAUGUACCACUCAAACUCUCCCAGGUAAUAACGAUGCUUCAUUGCAAGCAUCAGACAACAUGUCCUUACACUUAUUAUAUUUCAUAUAAUUUAUUUUAUCCAUAAUUCGGCAGUACAUAGAACUAUCUGGAAACUGAUUGUUGCUAUAAACUGUUUUGCAUAUUAUGUCAUCUUCUGGCUUUAAUUCAUUAUUUAAACAACACUGUAGUUAUACUAUUUUUAAUAUUCUAUUUAACCAGAAAAUAGUCAGUUCAAAGUGAGAAAGCACACC